rnacentral:rRNA from 1 species
GAUGAACGCUGGCGGCGUGCCUAAUACAUGCAAGUCGAGCGAACAGACGAGGAGCUUGCUCCUCUGACGUUAGCGGCGGACGGGUGAGUAACACGUGGAUAACCUACCUCUAAUACUGGGAUAACUUCGGGAAACCGGAGCUAAUACCGGAUAAUAUAUUGAACCGCAUGGUUCAAUAGUGAAAGACGGUUUUGCUGUCACUUAUAGAUGGUUCCGCGCCGCAUUAGCUAGUUGGUAAGGUAACGGCUUACCAAGGCAACGAUGCGUAGCCGACCUGAGAGGGUGAUCGGCCACACUGGAACUGAGACACGGUCCAGACUCCUACGGGAGGCAGCAGUAGGGAAUCUUCGGCAAUGGGCGCAAGCCUGACGGAGCAACGCCGCGUGAGUGAUGAAGGUCUUCGGAUCGUAAAACUCUGUUAUUAGGGAAGAACAAAUGUGUAAGUAAAUAUGCACGUCUUGACGGUACCUAAUCAGAAAGCCACGGCUAACUACGUG